UACGUAGGGUGCGAGCGUUAAUCGGAAUUACUGGGCGUAAAGCGCGCGUAGGCGGCUUUGUAAGUUAGAGGUGAAAGCCCGGAGCUCAACUCCGGAACUGCCUUUAAGACUGCAUCGCUUGAAUCCAGGAGAGGUGAGUGGAAUUCCGAGUGUAGAGGUGAAAUUCGUAGAUAUUGGGAAGAACACCGGUGGCGAAGGCGGCUUACUGGUCCAUUACUGACGCUGAGGUGCGAAAGCGUGGGGAGCAAACAGG
rnacentral:rRNA from 1 species